UUUCUGUCUGCCUCUCAUUGGCAAACAUGACAUUUCAGCAAUUUCUCUAAAGAGGAAUGACUGGGGGGUAUGUACAGCAGGCAUCAUGUAAGAAAAACUCACACCUCACGACAUAUUUGUUUGAUUUAUUCAGCAGACUUCAGCAAAGGAAAGAUGUGAAAGCAACCCUUGAUUGUUGAUUUUUUGUUCAUUCUGAAAAUCACAUCGCCAGAUCCAACACCUUUUUAUCCCAAUCACCAGUACAAGCCACCCGUAUCAGUGUACACUGUGGCUGACCGAUCCAUAGUGAUGCUUUGAGCACAAGGAAGGACUUUCUGGAAUCUACUUAUCUGACCAAGAAAGCUUCUUUCCAAAAGAAAUGCAAUUGUCUUGAGACUUCUUCCCUAGGGAUCUGAUCAACUAACCAGAAAAGAGCAACCACCAGAGAAGAGACUUAUUUUUCAGAUCCUGAAUUCGCAGAAUGGCUGACAUCAGCCUGUCUGAAGACCCCCACCAAAGACCUGACUCAGCACAGGAAUGCAGUUUCGUCUUCCUGUCCCAUAAUUUCACCCCUCACUUCUCAACCAAUCAGUGAUCCCCGCAAUACCCAUCACCUGGCCAGGCCCUUUAAAAUCCCUAACCACAAACCCCUCAGGGAGGCAGAUUUGAGGUUUCCUCCGGUCUCUUCAAUUGACUGCAUGAUGAUUGAUUAUUAAACUCUUUCUCUGCUGCAACCCCCAGUGUCUCCAUAUAUUGACUCACUGCAUCGGGCAAAGGACUCGUUAUGGUUAUAGUAUGCAGCCAGUCCUGACUGGCUCUUCAGGGAAGAAGCUGAGGGAAUACUUUUCCUAAACCUCCCUCUGUUUCUUCACUCUGAUAUUCUGCUGGUCCUUCCUAUUGACUGAACCCAGCCAGAAUGUCAAGAGGCAAAGGAGCUUGUUGAUCCAGUUCAUGGAGGUCAGCCUGCUGCAAGAUAGGGAUAAGGGGAAAC
rnacentral:lncRNA from 1 species